rnacentral:rRNA from 1 species
GUAGGGAAUAUUGCACAAUGGAGGAAACUCUGAUGCAGCGACGCCGCGUGAGUGAUGAAGGCCUUCGGGUCGUAAAACUCUGUGAUAAGGGAAGAUGAUGACGGUACCUUAUCAGAAAAGACCGGCUAACUUCGUGCCAGCAGCCGCGGUAAUACGAGGGGUCUAAGCGUUGUUCGGAAUCGCUGGGCGUAAAGCGGGUGUAGGUGGCUAUGCAAGUUGGAUGUGAAAGCCCCGGGCUCAACCCGGGAAGUGCAUCCAAAACUACGUAGCUUGAGUGCGGGAGAGAAAGGCAGAAUUCCUGGUGUAGUGGUGAAAUACGUAGAUAUCAGGAGGAACUCCGGUGGCGAAGGCGGCCUUUUGGCCCAGCACUGACACUCAGACCCGAAAGCGUGGGUAGCAAACAGGAUUAGAAACCCGAGUAGUCC